rnacentral:rRNA from 1 species
AUUGAACGCUGGCGGCAGGCCUAACACAUGCAAGUCGAACGAGUGGCGGACGGGUGAGUAAUGCCUGGGAAACUGCCUGAUGGAGGGGGAUAACUACUGGAAACUGUAGCUAAUACCGCAUACCAUCGGAUGUGCCCAGGUGGGAUUAGGUUGUUGGUGGGGUAACGGCUCACCAAGGCGACGAUCCCUAGCUGGUCUGAGAGGAUGACCAGCCACACUGGAACUGAGACACGGUCCAGACUCCUACGGGAGGCAGCAGUGGGGAAUAUUGCGAAAUGGGGGCAACCCUGAUGCAGCCAUGCCGCGUGUAUGAAGAAGGCCUUCGGGUUGUAAAGUUCUUUCAGUGGGGAGGCGUUAACUGCAGAAGAAGCACCGGCUAACUCCGUGCCAGCAGCCGCGGUAAUAC